CGGCUUGUUUGCAAGAGUUGGCUCUGUGCUCCUCAAAGCCAGUUAACUCCAUCCUUCGCUGAUGUCCUUAAAAGAACCUGCAACCAAGAGCAGAAACCCAGUUGGAGCCACGCAGGUGCCCCUUUCUAUCACGGAGAUAAAAGCUGUGACACAGCCUGGCAGAGCCCAGGAGCUGCUCCCAACCUCUCAUCCCAUCCUCGUGCCCUCCAUCAGAAAACUACAGCCCGAGGAAGCGGCUCGGAGGCAUCUUGAAGACUUGGAUCUGGUUCCUGGCCUCGCGGAAUGAGAAUCCGGAGACUGUGCUCACAUUUCCAUGGCUGGGGGUGAUCUCCGUUCUGUGGCAGGAGCCUGGAGCCCGGGGAUUGAAGAGCUCUGCUCCUCGGCUUGUGAGACAGAAUGACCGCAGGUGCUGAGAGAGAGCAGGAAAUCAUCUUUGUAAAGCUGUCCAGAAAGCCUUGAAUUCAGCCUUAUCUGGAGGAUUACCCCACGCAGUUCAGUUCUUGGCAUUCAGCUCCUCUGCAGUCCCCAGCUUCAGCACAGGAAACUCCUUCACCUAGCUGCUGCCAGCAUGCUUUUGGCGACCCUGGCUGUCCCGUCAGCUGUUACAGGCCAUUAAAGGAUUUGUUUCUCGGCGUAUGAAAAGGCUUAAUUCAAUUCUCAUUCUCUUCUGGCAUUCCUCGGAGAGCCUUCUAGGCUGUCAUCUACUUCUGGCUUCGCUCAGACUCUGCAGUCCAAAGAGUCAUGUGCAGUGACCCGCCACCAUCCCUGCUUCAGACUCCAGAGUCAGGUAGUUAGAUGAUUCCCUUUCAUGUAAGUACUUUUUUAUCUUUCUUAUCUGUGGAGGGAAGCCAGCACAAGUCAUCUUUGAAGGUAAGGAAAAUGGAACCAAUGUUUUGUAUCCCAGAAAUCUCAUUAUUUUCCAACUAAUCUGCUGACCUCGAAUGCAGGGGUUUGGCAGUUUCUUUAAGGGCUGUUGCUAAACAGAGCAGAAGCAGGUCCAUCUUGGGAAAGUCUGCAUGGGUACAAUAUGAAUUUUCUGUAAGGUGAAUUCUUUGGGCUGUGUCAGAAUGAGACACUGUGGGUGACUUGCCUUUGUCUCAAGCUUGAUGGUAGUUGCCUUUGUCUCAAGCUUGAUGGUAGAUUUCACAAGAGGAAAAAAGUGUGUUUAAGAAGUUACUUGAUGCUGAUCUGUCCAGAGUUUUUUUCCCAGGCUGGAUUUAGGGAAGGAUUAUCUCAGAUUUUCAUUUAGUUCUGAAAUCCUGGGUAUUGGUUUUAUAAACUAAACCCCCUUCGCAGCAGGUUGCUUGUUCUGUAUUGUUGUUUUAGCUUGGUGCAUAGAAAGGAAUUUAAAUUCACUGACAGGGUGGGGCUAGCUCCUCGCUGGGGUAAAUCAGCAUAGUUCAGAUAUUUAAAGGCAGAUGCAUCAGUCCUGGCAGCCGAGGAUCUGGCUUACUUUGAUUAAAAUCUGAUGAAGAUUACUCAGCCUUACCAAGGGACUUGGAUUACCAUUCUAUAAAAAGAAGGGCAGGAGAGCAGAGGACAUUAAAUAUAAAAAUAAUCCAACGAAGGAUGUGAAGCUAAAAGCGUGGCACGUUGAACAAUGAUGCAAACACCCUACUGAAACAGGUGGAGGGCCGCAGGGCUGGUGGGUGCACGCAAGGCUGGAAGCUAGGUUUGAGUCAGAAAGACAUUGCUCUUGUCACAGCCCUGGUCUUGUCUUUUAAAGGCAGAAUGUUCAGAAAGAGAGCCUCGCUCCUUAGAAAAUCCCCAGGGGAGUCUUGCAGGAGAAGAAGUGGGUGACAAAUCCUCUGCCUCUGCUUCCUCGGGGACCCAGGCUAGUGCCAAAUCUCACUACAAAGAGGUGAUUAGAGCUGAGGAACAGAAAGUCAGCUCUUACAGAUCUGAAAGCUUGAAAUGUGCAUCAUCUUUAGGGUUUCUUACAGAGGUUGAACUUCACCUCUCCCUUCUAUCGCAGCGUUCGUUUUCCUGGUUCUUUGUUCCUUUGAAAGCAUGAAGUGUAUUUAGGGGCUGUUAUUACUCCAUGUGAUUGUGCUCCAUGGGCAAUGACCGAUAGAAGGGCUGCAAUGAGCCCCUUUUUUUUUUGGCCUUUUAAACGUUUCUGUCAAACCUUUCAGCACAUGUCUAGCUUUCCCAAGAUUUCGUAUCCAGUCCCUUAAAAUCAAUACAAUCUGGUCUUGCCUCUGCAGUGGAGCUAUUGAUAGGGAAGAUGCACUUGGGUCUUCAUCUAACUGCUUUUUGAAGCCCCUAAACCCAUUUGUCUCUUCUUUUGAUGGAGCUUGCUGCCUUGCUCAAUGGCUUGCUUGCAUAGGAAGCACCUUCCUUGCUGACCUCUGUUAAAAACGUGGAAGGUCUUCAAGUAGAGUUGCAGGACUUGUGAUUUGAGUGUCCUUCUUUACCCAGACCAAGGAGAACAGAGUGCAUGGUGCGUUGGCUGGUCUGGAAUCUGUCUAGGGUGGCUGGAAGAUGCUUUAAUGGUGUCAGAAGGCUGCGGGAGCCUGGACAGUGAGGUUGAGCGGCCUUAAGAACGUUGCUGACUUAAACUGACGCAUCUAAAUGCGCUGGAGGAAAGACGAGAGGGCUGUUUGGGGACCUCCUGGGUGAUUACAUACAUGGCUGGUCAGCGACAUCGCCUGAGUGCCCCGGCAGCUAUGCCAGUCUUCCAGUUUUCUUUCAUUGCAGUUCGGGUCGGAUGAGGAUAAGAUUGUGUUUUAAUAAGUGUUUGUUAGGGAGUGCUUCCCCCCCCGCCUCCCACCCGCAUGAAACUGUUUAUUUUCCUUGCAGUAACACGUGUGUUGCUCAGCUUCUGCUGUUCCAUGUGUCGUGCUCUGUUACUCUGCCUUGCUCGCAGCCGCAGAGCAGGGGGAACACUGCCAAGGCUUUUUCUGGGAAUUUGCUCUGGUCGUGCUGCUUCCCCGGGAGCACUCAGCGGAUGCAUGUUGUUUGCAGGGGGGGGGAACACUCAAAUGUCAGCAUCUGAAGGGAUCACGAAGGAAGCAAGGCGAGCACCAACUACUCUUCCACCUCUCAGAGGUGCCUGCAUACACACAGCCUUGAUACAACCCUGCUGCAGAUUAUAGACGUGUUUUGGUUGAGAUUCUCUGUGCUUGAUGCAUUGUCUGCCUGCAACGCAGGGCAAACUCUACUCCUCCCUUCUGGCCCGGCCUGUAAUGAUGGAUUAAGUAGAGACAGAAAACUUUGGGAACGUGAACUGAGCCCUUACAUUUCUUCAGUGCAAAAUGCUGUUGCCCUGUUCUUUUGAUGAGGAGAGGAAGGUGCUGAGUCUUUCCUGUCCUGGCCGUGUCCAUGGACCGAGCUGUCAUACCAUUCUGAGAGCUGGAGGAAGGAAAUGGACUGAGUCUGCCCUCAGAAUUCAGGUCCUUGUCCAGGACUCUGGGAACCUGCCUGCGUGUGAUUGACGGCAUCACGUGAGCGUGUAUGGGGCUGCAUCUCAUGCUGUCGGGUCAGAGAUUACCUCCAAGCAGCCAAUACUCAACAUUCAGUCAGAAAAGAUGCAAAGAAGCAGAGCCAUUCCCCUCUCUGUGUCAUCUGCCUCUGAGAGUGGGAGAGUGCUGGCAGAGCGCUACCGGGUCUGUACUGGUAUAGAGAGGAAGGCUCAGAUUUGAUGAUUUGUCCAUUAUCUGGUGGUGGAUACAGCCUAACCUGGGCUCAGAGCAUCCCAAGGUCUGUAUCCUAGUGCAGGAACUGGCUGCUGCUGCUCUCUUCUGAAUAGACAGCUUUCUCCAGCCUCACAGCAUGCUAAUGUAGGCCAGUCACCUUCACCACAACUCCUGGCGCAAGAUAUUCAGCAGACUUGAUGCUUCAUAGUAGGCUGAAUCUGGUAUAACCAAGGCAGAAUUUCUACCUGCCAGUAGUGAAGUAAUGCCCUGUGAUUUCAAGUGACCACUGGUUUGACAGCAGUAGUGAAAGGGAAAGGCAUGAAUAGGCCGGAUAUCAGGAAAACCUUCUCAGGAGUGAUGAGGCUGUGAAAUGGACUGCCCAGGGAGGUGGUGGAGUCACUGUCCCUGGAGGUGUUCAAGAACUGUGGAGACGUGGCACUGAGGGACGUGGUUUAGUGAGCAAUAAUGGUUGAUGGGUGGACAGCUGGAUUAGAUGGGUCCGACUAGAGGUCCUCCAAUUAGAGGUCUUUUCCAGUCUAAAUGAUUCUAUGAAAGCAGUCGACCGUUUUCUUGCAGUCUCUGAGGAGCUUGGAUAUGGUGUCUGAAACGAGCUAAGGAAGCCACCUAAUCUCUGAGCACAUCCACCUUCUGCAGCAUACACCCUUCCAGCCACAAAGAGGUCCUGAGUCCCUCAGUGGCUGCAAAGAACAGCAGGUAGAUGGAGCAGACAGAGAUGGAGAGCAUUCUUUUGUUGCUUUUUUUUUGGGGGGGGGAGUAUCGUUGAAGAAUCAGGGUGACAAAAAUAUUUUGAUGGAAGUGACUAUGUGAAAUAUCUUUUCAUUUUGAUUAUUUGAAAAACAAAAACUGUUCAUGGGUUUUAAAAUUCAUGUCCCCUCCGGGUUGCUUUGUUUUGUUUUGUUUCUUAUUCCUUCUCCCUUAUUCCUCAGAGGAAGCCAUCCAAACCUACACGGUGCGUCAUUUCUUGAGGAAAUGCAGUGUGAUCUUUUUUUCCAGUUUAACCUGGGCUGAAAAAUCUUCUGGUGUUUCAUUUGCCUGAGAAAUCAGAAAAAAAAAGCUUGGAUGAAACAGGAAUCUGACUGGUUCACAGGGAACCUUCUUGGUUUUGGAGACCCAUUUGGGUGGGGUAGCUGCAGGAGCUCUUUGCUGUGCAGGUUGGGGAGGAGGUGAUGCCAUCUUUGCCUGGGCCAUACUUUGUGCCCAAUGCCUUCUCCAGGGGUGAGGGGCAUAAGGGGUGCAGAGCUGUGUCUUGGUUGCAGCAGGGAACUGCUACCACUGAAGUAUGAUUCUCAGCUUUCUGGAGUUGUGGAAAACAUCUGGACAAUGGUUGAAAUUGGAAGAGCGAAGGGCUAUCCUGGCUUUUGAGGGCAUAUCAUGGGAUGUCCCGCAGGUGGCUUGUUGGAGGUGAACCACAGAGGGAGGACUGCACUGGAGAGGCAUAGAGGCUCACAUGGGACGGGAGUGGUGGCAACUGCCUGUAUGCCUGAAAGCAGGGCAAGCAGUGGGCUGGGGGUGGAGGAGACCACCUCCGCCUGUUGCUGCCAUCUCCACGAGCUGCCAGCUCUGCCGUGUAGCUUUGCCCAGAUCUGCAGUAGAGCUGCUCAUCCCCAGCCCUGCCAUCCCUGUGCCCCACAUGCUGCCUCUCCUAUAAAUAGCCGGAUGGGAAGCAGAGCGCAGAGCCGCCGCAGAUGGCCCCCAGUUCCACGCGCACUCAUGUGUGAGAUCCCAGAGAGGGGCUGUCAAUUCCUUGCCUACAGCCACCCAUGCAACCUCAUUAAGGAUGGUGUCGUCUUCCUUAACCCCCAUCGCCCCCUCCCUCCCCACUUCAACGUGCCUCCAUUUGAGCACCCUUAUUAAACGUGCACUUCUAAGCAAGGAGCGCUGACUUCCCCUUAAUUGAGGCAUAAUAAUUAGAGCAUUAACACAUUAGGAGAGUGAGACAGCAUGUUUAGCUUUUGUGAUUAAUUAUCUGAGGAUUGUAAUAAGUUGUUAAGACAUUAAUUACUCUGGCAUGUUUAUUGCUCUUUAUUGCAGAACUGACACUUGGUGGAAGAGUUGCUGGUGUGCCUGGCGGUGCACCGUGAGGUGGGCUGGCCAGGGGAGACCUCUGCUCCCCCAUAGACACUGAGCUGCUGCUUGGGAAUGGAUCUAGGGGAGCAGAAACAGCUCCUGAACCUCCAGCAGGACACCUCGGGAUGGAAGUGGUGUCUGAAUCUCUUAGAGUCGUAGGAUUAUGAAGGUUGGAAUAAAACACUGAGAGCAUCAGCCCAUCCCCACCGUGCCCACUAAACCAUGUCCCUCAAUGCCGCGUUCUCCCUCAUCUUGGGGCAGCCUGGGAGCUGGAAGGCUUAUUUUUAUGGAUGGUUUCAGCUGGAUUUCUCUCUUCUUUCAAACAAAGUGUUUCCUCUCGGAUGGUUUGAGCCUGCCCUCAUUUGGAUCUUUGUUUUUGCAAAUCCAAGUCAGCGUGGCUCAUUGUGCCUGGAUCUGAGGAGGAUGGCUGUCUGUUAACGACAAGCUGAAGUUCAGCGUGUCGGCGGUGGUCAGGGAGUGAACCAGGACCCCAGUGGCCUCGCUUGGCUCUUGAUCAGAUGAAUUUUCUUCUGGAGAGCUGGGAGGUGGGUUAGGGAAGGCUGUUGCUGUGGCAGCAGGAGUGGAUCAGCCCUCUGCAGCCUGUUCUUCACACAGCAAGCUGCUCAGCGACCUGUCAGAGCUGUGCUGAUCAGAUGGGGGCUGAAGGCAGAGUUCAGAGCAGGAGGAUGGGUGGGUCCAUGUGCUGCUGUGACAGAGAAAAAAGGAAGCAGGAGGCUGCGAUGGGCCUGUUCCAGCCUUCUGCUUUUCCCAUGAGUUGCACAGUGCCAGAGUCUUGCUGUCCAGCUCUUUGGGUGGGGGACAGCACAGGAGAAAUGGGGGGAAAUGGAGUAACAGCCCCAGCCACUGGCAUGGAGAAUAAAACUGGGAAAAUGGUGAAAGUCGAGAAGGUGAGAAAGCUGUGAGUUUUGUGUGUUUGCUGUUGGUUUGAUAUUGGAUGGCCCCAUCCCUGCCGACAGCCAAGGUCAGGCUGGAUGGGCUCUGAGCACCACUAGGGCUGUGAGUGUCCCUGCUCAGUGCAGGAGGGUUGGACCAGAUGGCCUCUGAGGGUCCUUUCCAGCUCAAAACGAUGCUGUGGUUCCUUGGGGAGCCCUAGAGCUGAAAUGUCUGGUUUCCAGCCUAUGGCAGUGCCCUUGUGGCUUUGCAACACGUGCUUGUGUCUUGGGGUAGCAGCCAAGGGAGUGGGAGGGGGUCUUUAAACGUGAAGACCCUGUCCGGUUCGCCUUUCCCAAGGACAGACUGUCUCACUGUGGCUCCCACCAGCUCAAUCUGCUGUCACUGUGUCACUGGCACUGGUGGCCAGGGAGCUGCACAAGGCACUGAAUGCCCUCCUCGUGUGCGAGCUGGGAUCCAUCUUGUGUCAGCUGCCUUCAGCACCUCCGAGCCCACACUGCCUUGCUGAAGCCCAGCCUGAAUAUGGCAUUUGCUGUCAGGUGGCUGAUUUCUGCCUGCAGAAUAUGGAGAGCGUCAGCCUGGCAUUUCCCACUUGCCUCCUAGGGACAAAGCAGGUCAUGACUUCCGUGUAUUAUCAUUAAAAAGAUAAUUUCCUCUAGAUGUGUGCAAUAAGACAAUGGUGCUGACCUGUGAUCCUGGCAUUGCACAGCAUUAAUGAUUUCCCUUUGCAGGUAAUAAGCAGCAAAUGUACACAUUUUGGGGAGAUCUGAAUUAGUUUUUUUCCCUCCUUUUAAGACUGCUGUCUUCCUAGGCCAGACUUAAUUAGCAGACCUCAUUAUUUCCUGAAAUGUAACUUGACUUCCAUUGAAUGAGAAUUGUUCAGUGGAUGGGGAGCAGCAGAGCGGUGCUGCAAUAUUCAUAUUGUUUAAAUUGCAACAUUAACAUUUCAUGCCGCUCUUGGCAUAUUUUCAGGUGCGGCCCUUUAGCUCAAUGCAGUGCUGUGAAAGGUUGGAUCAGAACAAUUAGGAUACAGCGACUGGAUUUCUGGAUUAUUAUUAUUAUUAUUUUUUUUUUAAGCAACACAAGCUUAGAUUCAAUGCCCAUCACUCUAUUUGUUUGGCAGAACAGGGAUUCCAGCGCCCCUGAAGUAAAUGCUUUUCUGGAAUAAAGGAUGUGCUGUAGCACAUGCUCACCUCCUCUCUUAGCAGAGAUGAAGCCCUGCAGGUACAUGCAGUACGUGAUUCGCAGGGCUGGAAGCACCUCCUGGGACUUGACCUUCACUAGCUAAAUAGGAGAACUCCCAAUAAUGCUUCUGGCCACCUAGGCCACAGUCGCACACAAAAAGGCUGUUUCCCACUUUGCCCUUGUUCUUGGAUGCCUCAGGCUGGAGGUGGCACUGUAGUAAUGCCCAGGUCCAAGCGGAUCCUACAUGAGCACGUGGAUUGCACUCCCUAUCUCCAAACAGCCCGUGGGCCUUGGUCCUGCACAGGGGCUCCAGUGACCUUUGCUGCCUUGCCCCAUAGUGUGCUUUCCAGUAGUUUUUCCUGUACUGGAGUUCAGUGUCAAUGAUGGGAGUUAAUGUCAAGGAAUCAUAGAAUACCUGGGUUAGAAGGAACCUUAAAGCCCACCCAGUCCCAACCCUACAGUGGGCUGGCUGCCCCUCCCCCACCAGCUUAGGCUGCCCAAGGCCCAAUCCAGCCUUCCUCGAGCACCUCCAAGGAUGGGACACACGUCUGGGAUUGCCAUGAACCAAGUGCAACACCUUGAAUUUGGCCUUGGCAGUGUCAAGAACAACUCCAGCUUCCACCCUGGAACAACUUAGUUAGGGUCUCUGACUUCAGCCAACCAUGCCUCCCAUUUGUAACGUGUGCAGUGGGAUCCAUGACAUCUUAUCUCCCAUGGAUACGUAGCUUGGGUCAGGGUUCUCUGGUAUCUGGUAAGCUGCUUGUGCUGAACGGAACACCUCCUCUCGUGGGUUAUUUAUAACAUCCUGCUCUCCCACGCAGAUUGUCUGGUGUCUAAUAGUGGAUGAUGCACUACAGUUUGCAAGGUGCUAAUAAUCUCUCUCCUCUGUUUGACAGUCUGUUCCCAUGAGAUUUAUAGACUCUGACUGUCCCUGAGACCUCUGCCUCUCUGUCAGAUCAGGCUGAAAUCUGUUCUCAGUGUCAGAAGCUGCUGCCAAGCAGGCAGGGGAUGGACUGAUGCGUGUGUUUUGCAUCCCAUAAGAACUCAAGCACAGACCUGGGGGGCGAUGGGAGCUCUGAUUGCCAACUUGUGGGUUCAGGAAGGUGAGCCUCCAGGAGAAGGGCCGUGCCCGCAGCCAUCCUGCAUGAGAUGCCGUGCUGCGGGAUGCUCACGGGCUGCACUUCGUGUUCCCAUCGCCUGCGGUGACCAUCACAAGCGGCGCAGCCCCUGUGGGAACGGCCCCUGAGGACAAUAAACGAGCCAGCCCCGAGCUCCAGGCUGCUGUGAAGAAUUGCCUGGCUAAAGGAUAAUGAAUACCGCAGCAGGAGACGGAGCGUUUCUCCGAGGCCAUCCAUCCCCUUUAUCACCCCGCUAACAAGCCCCUGAGCGACUUCAGAGAGGCUUCUGCAGAGCAGCUCAAUCCCUCACCGUGCUGGCGGCUGGGUGCUGGGGGCUCUGCGGGAAGCCACAGCCCCAUCCCACAGAGCAACCACCAGUGCCCUCCAGGGGUCCGUGUAGUGCCAAGGAGGGGCAGAAGAGCCAGGCAUCCUUUUUUUUUCCAAGGCACUUUUGGGCCCUGCAGCACUCUUUGGAGCAUUGCUUUACCCAGCUCCCAGUCUGGCAAAGAUUUCUGAGGUCUGUGCGAGGCUCAGGAGGAGUUUAGUGCUGCUGGCCAGGAGGUUUAUCUAUAGGAGGAUGCAUCUAGCACGGUCCCUGCAAGAACUUCACAUCCAGUGCUGGAGGAGGAGAAGGGAAAGCAAACAGUGUUGGGUGUUCUCAUCAAUAUAGGUGGCUGGGGGGGUGCGAGGGGGGGCAGAAAGCAGGAGAAAAGCUGAAAGCCCUUCAGGAAGGUGUAUAGAGCACAGUGAUGGGCAAUUAGGUUGUUCCAGGAAGGACAGAAGUAGCAGAGAGCAGUGAGCUGAGUCUGAGGAGCUCUCUGAUACUCAGCAUCAGCUUCGACUGAGGUCGCUGGGUAGGGCUGGUUGUGUUUAAUGCCUCAGUUUCCCCACGGGAGGGUUCAUUUACAGCCUGAAAACAUCUGGCACUUUUCCUCCUUUGGCCAGCACUGUUAUGUGUUGAAUUGAAGGGAAACGCAAUGCAUCACCCUCCUCAUGGGCUGCCACUCUGCCAAGAGUAGCGGAGAUUGGCCUUCCAUCAUGGGGGGCUGAGGUGGAAGGGACCUCCCGGAGCAUGCAGCGGAGAAAUACUGUCAUUAGCUGAGGAAGACCUGGCAGAGAUGGAGUGCUCCUUCACCUUGCCCGCCAGACCUCUGCCCUGCUUGCUGCUAACAGGACAGGGAAAUGCUAACUGUGCCAGCUGCAGUGCUUGGAGUGCUGUCUGCAUCCAGAUGUGAGAAACAGCUGGGACAGCAAGGCUUUUACAGCCUGGUGGGGGUGGCUUUGGUCUUUUUGCUGCCUAUCAACAAGCCCUUGCUGUUGGGAUCAAAGAAUGUUUCUCCAUACUUACAGUCAAUGGGUGCUGGAUGAUCCCCAGAGGUCCCUUCCAACCCCUACAAUUCCGUGGGUCUGUGAUGUCCCUGGCCAUGAAGGUCCCAGGAUGCAGGAGGUCUGCCUCCUGUACUUACCAGUGUAACAGGGCAGCCUUCGGGGUGGUGUAGGUUUGAAGGAUGCCUCACCUGCUCCUGUCUCACAGGUUGUAGGGAAAUCAUUUUAAUUAGCGUGACACGUCCCUUUGUGGGCAAAAAAAAAAGAAAGAAAAGAAGGAAAGCCAAUAGAAACUCCGGCCAUUCGGGGUAUUUUUAGUUCUUUGCGAAGGACUGUUAACAUCUCUCUCAGCUCCCUGAAGACUGCUUUGGCUCUGCAGUUGCCUGCGGUGCUGUGCUGACGCCAGCACACCCUGCAUGAAGCUGUUCGGUGAAGGAGGGGCUACAGGAACUCAGGGAGAGCACAAAGUUCUGGAUGAAGAACACGAAAGUGAUGGGACCUUUCCUGCAUUCUGGAUCUGCAUCUUCAAUUCCUUGUGAAGGACCAGGAGACACAGGCAAAGGAAGCCAGCUGUACAGAAAGCAGAAGUCCAGGUGACAGAUUGAGGGAUGCUACAAGCACAGUAGGCUGCCUGAUAGAUUGAUAGAUUAGACAGAGAAUAUAAAUAGCAUUGUUUAUCUAUCCCACUUUUAUUUUCCUCCCACUUGUCUCCCUAUCUACCCUGGUUUUGUUUUCCUCCCACUUAUCUCUUUAUCUAUCCAGCCUGAAGAUGGAACAGCAGUAGAAUGGAUGAGUUCAAGUUGCUAUGUUUCUUGUGGCAUUCAGGCAAAGUUUUGGCAACUGGGGAGAAUUUGGCAGAGCUGUGUUGAUCACCCUGAGCAAUGGCGAUGCUACAGGAGGCAGAGCUUUUCCACUCCUGAUGUACCGCUGCAGGUUGGGGGUUGUUGGGAGUGAUGGCCUUAUGUAGUCUUUUGAAGGCCCCAUCACCCCUUGAAGGAGGAUGCAGAGAUGCCCUUGGUGCCUGCACUGGGUCUAGCUGAUAGAGAAAUGAAGCAGCUCUGGAUGUGCCCAGGAUGGGUUGCACUUUGUUUCAUGCCCUUUCUAAGGGAGUGGUGAACGUGGAGGGCAACAAGGAUGCCACAGGUAUGGAGCAGCCUCCAUAUACAGACCUAAUAAGGAAGACACAUCACAGAUACAUGUCAUCCAUGUGACUGAAAGGAUGGCCGUGGUCAGUGACUCCCCAUCCUUUCCCAUACCGCAGUGGAGGGGCACCAAACAAAGCUCCUAGUGCCCAUUUCUGGCAUGCCCAAGGGGGUGUGAUGUGCCACAGAUGGCCUUAAUUGGCCACCUAGGAAUCCGGAGCACCCCUCUGAGUUAACGGAGCCACUGACAGGAAGGAGAUGGCCGACUAGCAUGGGAUGUCCUCCUUGUCUAUGCCUUCUCAGGAGGCUUUGCUCAAUGCCAGGCCUGUAUGAUGGGGUAGGAAACAUGGGGCACACGGUGCUGGCCUCCUCACCACCCCCCAGCACAGCAAUGGAAAAGCCAGGGCCAGAGAUGACAUCAUUCUUGUUCUUUUUUUUUUUUUUUCUCAGUUAUUUUUGGUUGCUCUUUUGCUCAAAAAAAGGCAUUUUUUUAAAAAAUAUAUUAAACAGAUACAUUUUACUAAGAUGUCUCUCAGCUGGAGCCACCAACAAGAAAUGAUCCUCCUCAAAUAGAUAAGCUUAAAAAAAAAAACACCUCCCAAACCGACCAAAUAAAUAAAUACAUAAAUAAAACAUUUUUCUUUUAUCUUUUUCUUUCCUCCUUUUGUUUCCAUUUCUCUGUAAG
ensembl:lncRNA